UACGUAGGGUGCAAGCGUUGUCCGGAAUUAUUGGGCGUAAAGAGCUCGUAGGCGGUCUGUCGCGUCUGCUGUGAAAAUCCAGGGCUCAACCCUGGACCUGCAGUGGGUACGGGCAGACUAGAGUGCGGUAGGGGAGAUCGGAAUUCCUGGUGUAGCGGUGAAAUGCGCAGAUAUCAGGAGGAACACCGGUGGCGAAAGCGGCUCUCUGGGACGGUACUGACGCUGAGACGCGAAAGCGUGGGGGGCGAACAGG
rnacentral:rRNA from 1 species